AUUGAACGCUGGCGGCAGGCCUAACACAUGCAAGUCGAGCGCGAAAGUUCUUCGGAAUGAGUAAAGCGGCGGACGGGUGAGUAAUACAUGGGAAUCUGCCUGGUAGUGGGGGACAACGUUUCGAAAGGAACGCAAAUACCGCAUACGCCCUGCGGGGAAAGGGGGGGAUCUUCGGACCUCUCGCUAUCAGAUGAGCCCAU
rnacentral:rRNA from 1 species